rnacentral:rRNA from 1 species
UACGGGGGAUGCAAGCGUUAUCCGGAAUCAUUGGGCGUAAAGCGCCUGUAGGUUGUUUAAUAAGUCUGUUGUUAAAGACUAGGGCUCAACCCUAGGAAAGCAAUGGAAACUACUAGACUAGAGUAUGGCAGGGGUAGAGGGAAUUUCUAGUGUAGCGGUGAAAUGCGUAGAUAUUAGGAAGAACACCGGUGGCGAAGGCGCUCUACUGGAUCAUUACUGACACUCAGAGGCGAAAGCUAGGGUAGCAAAAGGGAUUAGAUACCCCUGUAGUCCUAGCCGUAAACGAUGGAUACUACAUGUUGCGUUUUUAAUGCAGUGUGGUAGCUAACGCGUUAAGUAUCCCGCCUGGGGAGUACGGUCGCAAGGCUG